CGGGGCGUAGCGCAGUUCGGAUAGCGCGCUUGGUUCGGGACCAAGAAGUCGGAGGUUCAAAUCCUCUCGCCCCGA
rnacentral:tRNA from 1 species